UACGUAGGGUGCAAGCGUUGUCCGGAAUUAUUGGGCGUAAAGAGUUCGUAGGCGGUGUGUCACGUCGGCCGUGAAAACCUGGGGCUUAACUCUGGGCGUGCGGUCGAUACGGGCAUCACUAGAGUUCGGCAGGGGAGACUGGAAUUCCUGGUGUAGCGGUGAAAUGCGCAGAUAUCAGGAGGAACACCGGUGGCGAAGGCGGGUCUCUGGGCCGAUACUGACGCUGAGGAGCGAAAGCAUGGGUAGCGAACAGG
rnacentral:rRNA from 1 species